CCUACGGGAUGCAGCAGUAGGGAAUCUUCGGCAAUGGACGAAAGUCUGACCGAGCAACGCCGCGUGUGUGAAGAAGGCUUUCGGAUCGUAAAACUCUGUUGUUAGAGAAGAACAAGGACGUUAGUAACUGAACGUCCCCUGACGGUAUCUAACCAGAAAGCCACGGCUAACUACGUGCCAGCAGCCGCGGUAAUACGUAGGUGGCAAGCGUUGUCCGGAUUUAUUGGGCGUAAAGCGAGCGCAGGCGGUUUCUUAAGUCUGAUGUGAAAGCCCCCGGCUCAACCGGGGAGGGUCAUUGGAAACUGGGAAACUUGAGUACAGAAGAGGAGAGUGGAAUUCCAUGUGUAGCGGUGAAAUGCGUAGAUAUAGGGAGGAACACCAGUGGCGAAGGCGGCUCUCUGGUCUGUAACUGACGCUGAGGCACGAAAGCGUGGGGAGCAAACAGGAUUAGAUACCCCCGUAGUC
rnacentral:rRNA from 1 species